rnacentral:lncRNA from 1 species
ACCAACAGUGUUAGCUCCUCGGCACUUAAGUCAGCACUUGAAGUCCUGUGUCCAGUUAGAUGACUGAAGGGACAGUAACAGCAGGGGACAAGUGUUUGGAGGUGUCAGUCCGGUGUUAUGUGGCCUGUAGUGUCUCAGAGGGAAGGAGGAAGACCAGGGCAUUUUUGUGAGGGAGGUAUUGUGUGACAGGCACCUCUUCGGUUAGCUCAGAACAUUCCCAUCGCACUUGGAAAGGUAGGUGGUGUUACAGUGUCGUUCAGAUGAAUGAGAGAUCCU